rnacentral:tRNA from 2 species
ACUUAAUUAGUAUAAUAAGUAUAAAAGACUUCCAAUCUUUAGGUCUAUCUAAUAGAUUAAGUA